rnacentral:rRNA from 1 species
UUAAAGUCUAAUCUGCCCUAUGAAGGAUUAAAUGGCCGCGGUAUUUUGACCGUGCAAAGGUAGCAUAAUAAUUAGUUUUUUAAUUGAAAGCUGGAAUGAAUGAUUGAACGAGAAAAUAACUGUCUCAAUUUAAUUUUAGUAGAAUUUUAUUUUUAAGUAAAAAAGCUUAAAUAUGAUUGAAAGACGAGAAGACCCUAUAGAGUUUGAUAUUUUUCUAUUUAUUAAUUUUUUAGAUUAUUUUUGUUGAUAUUUAGUUAAUUAUUUUAUUGGGGCGAUAGAAAAAUUAAAUUAACUUUUUUUGUAUUAAAUCAUUGAUAUAUGAAUAUUUGAUCCAUUUUUUAUGAUUAAAAGAUUUAGUUACCUUAGGGAUAACAGCGUAAUUUUUUUAUAGAGUUCUUAUCGAAAAAAAAGAUUGCGACCUCGAUGUUGGAUUAAAAUUAAUAUAGGGUGAAGAAGCUUGAUUAUUAGGUCUGUUCGACCUUUGAAAUUUUACA